UGCAGAUGAUGUGAAAAUAUAUUUGCUAUCUGAAAAGUCAGUGCUGACACUUACCACCAAGAUCACUGAUGCA